UCCAUUCCCAACCCCCUGCCCUUACUAACAAUGUCCUUUUAUGGUCCUCGUUCCUUACCUGUGACGCCUGUCCUGACCCGCUUCUGAUUGGUGUUAUGAUAUGACGUACAUGUGUGACGUAUGUAUGACGCGUGGUAUAUGUCGCGCCGGAGCGGGCCGAAGCCCCGGCAGUCGAGUCGAGUCGCAGUCGCAGUCGGACCGAGUGAGGGCCGCUCCCUCACCGGUCGCUUAUCUUCACUUGUUCUUUUCGGCUCGUCAUCUCGUUUGAACUCAUUGUCUCGGACAUUCAAAUAUAGUGAAAAGUGAAACGCUGCAUUUUAUUCACGAACUUUAUUACAAGAUAAUUUGGUGCCGUGACCCGGAUAACGUCGGGCAAAGACUUUUUGAAAAAUUUUGCGCGUCUUCGACUCAUCUCUGGCGGACUUCUGGGCAUCUAGACAUCUCUUCACUACAAGGCAGCGGAACACCGGCAGGGUGUGAACGCGGCGACCUCGACCGGAUGGCUCCGAUGACUGGUUCGUCAGCGCUGGCCUCGCCACCCGAGCCAGCGGCGCUGUUGACAAAUGUCAGCGCCGGCCGGCCCCGUGACGUCCGGUGUCAUACUGACUGACACCCCAUCACUGCUGACGUCGGUGGGAGCCGCCGAACAACGAACUGACACCGGUCAUCUGACAUCAUCGGGGGGCCAUCCGUGUCAUCGCCGGUCACCAUUCUUCAUCGCACGCUUCACCGCUUGGCUGGCACGCGCGCACGCCCGACGUAAGCCGAAGCAAGUCGCCGUCGCGAGGCUGCCGCUGCCGCCGCACUGCUGUAGUCGUCACUCCGCUUCGCCCUGCACGACUUCGCUCGCUCUCUGCUUCGACUGGCCGGCGUCAGGCGUUCGCUGACGUAAGUCGAGACAAGUUCGCCGUCGCGAUGCUGCCCGCCGUUGCCCUCACAGCGCCACCUAGCGGUUGCGGACAAACGCCACCUAGCGUUAUGAACGCUGCGAGCGCCACCUAGCGCUGCGUGCUCUAAAGACAGACGCCAUCUAGCGAGUGAGUGCGGUGAAAGGAAACAAUAGAGUGACUGCGAGGAACAUGAUGAAUGAAAGUGAAUGCGCAAUUGGACCAAACGGGUGAGACAUUUGAUUUUAGAUCCGGACUAUAAAUGAAUAUCGCGGACGGUGCUAAGGUCGGACAUUUCGGAAAAAGAACUCUACUACAAGGACUACAACAAAAUGGGGACAUGGGGAAAAAGUGUAUUGUUUGUGUACUGUUAUAUGAUAGUGUUGCAUUUGAC